UGGGGAAUAUUGCACAAUGGGCGAAAGCCUGAUGCAGCAACGCCGCGUGAGUGAUGAAGGCCUUCGGGUUGUAAAGCUCUGUCUUUUGGGACGAUAAUGACGGUACCAAAGGAGGAAGCCACGGCUAACUACGUGCCAGCAGCCGCGGUAAUACGUAGGUGGCAAGCGUUGUCCGGAUUUACUGGGCGUAAAGGAUGCGUAGGCGGAUUUUUAAGUGAGAUGUGAAAUACCCGGGCUUAACUUGGGUGCUGCAUUUCAAACUGGGAAUCUAGAGUGCGGGAGAGGAGAAUGGAAUUCCUAGUGUAGCGGUGAAAUGCGUAGAGAUUAGGAAGAACACCAGUGGCGAAGGCGAUUCUCUGGACCGUAACUGACGCUGAGGCAUGAAAGCGUGGGUAGCAAACAGGAUUAGAUACCCUGGUAGUCCACGCCGUAAACGAUGAGUACUAGGUGUAGGAGGUAUCGACCCCUUCUGUGCCGCAGUUAACACAAUAAGUACUCCGCCUGGGAAGUACGAUCGCAAGAUUAAAAAGCUCAAAUUGAAUUGACGGGGGUCAUAGCUGUUUUUCCCU
rnacentral:rRNA from 1 species